UGGGGAAUAUUGGACAAUGGGCGGAAGCCUGAUCCAGCCAUGCCGCGUGUGUGAAGAAGGCCUUUUGGUUGUAAAGCACUUUAAGCGAGGAGGAGGCAACUUGGAUUAAUACUCUAGGAUAGUGGACGUUACUCGCAGAAUAAGCACCGGCUAACUCUGUGCCAGCAGCCGCGGUAAUACAGAGGGUGCGAGCGUUAAUCGGAUUUACUGGGCGUAAAGCGUGCGUAGGCGGCUUCUUAAGUCGGAUGUGAAAUCCCUGAGCUUAACUUAGGAAUUGCAUUCGAUACUGGGAAGCUAGAGUAUGGGAGAGGAUGGUAGAAUUCCAGGUGUAGCGGUGAAAUGCGUAGAGAUCUGGAGGAAUACCGAUGGCGAAGGCAGCCAUCUGGCCUAAUACUGACGCUGAGGUACGAAAGCAUGGGGAGCAAACAGG
rnacentral:rRNA from 1 species